CCACCCAGGCAUGUGCCCUGACCAGGAAUUGAACCAGUGACCUCCUGGUUCAGAGGUCGAAGCUCUACCACGGAGCCACGCUCGUUGGGCCAGAAAGACAUGAUUUUAAUAUUGUCACCUGAGUCUCUGAAUCCCGCUCUCCCUGAAGCCCAUAUUGUUAUAGGAACCUCAUUAAGUCCUUUUAUUGAAGCCACGUUUGAGUUGGUUUUCAAGUAAUUGCAACCAGAAAGUUCUGCCUGAUGACGUGUUAUGGUGGCUUCACAGUAUUGCCCGGAGAGGCGUGAGUUGUCACCUGGUGCUAUUACCACUGAGUCUUCAACAACUCGGGCUUGAGCCGAGCGGGUCUACUGAUACACAGUUUUUCUCAAUAUUGUAAAUGUAUUUUCUCUUCCUUAUGACUUUCUUAAUAACACUGUCUUUUUUUCUGGCUUACUUUAAGAAUACAGUAUAUAACACAUAUAAUGGGCAAAAUAUGUGUUCAUCAGUUAUUUACAUUAUCCGUAAGGCUUCCAGUCAAUAGGAGGCUGUUAGUAGUUAAGUUUUGGAGAGUCAAAAGUUACAGGUAGAUUUUCUACUGCACAGGGGGGAGGGUUGGCACCCCAAGCUGCCAUGUUGUUUAACGGUCAACUGUAAUUUACAAUUUAAAUAUCCAUCAUAAUCCAUC